UAUACAUGCAAGUCGAACGAACUUCCGUUAAUUGAUUAUGACGUACUUGUACUGAUUGAGAUUUUAACACGAAGUGAGUGGCGAACGGGUGAGUAACACGUGGGUAACCUGCCCAGAAGUAGGGGAUAACACCUGGAAACAGAUGCUAAUACCGUAUAACAGAGAAAACCGCAUGGUUUUCUUUUAAAAGAUGGCUCUGCUAUCACUUCUGGAUGGACCCGCGGCGUAUUAGCUAGUUGGUGAGGUAAAGGCUCACCAAGGCAGUGAUACGUAGCCGACCUGAGAGGGUAAUCGGCCACAUUGGGACUGAGACACGGCCCAGACUCCUACGGGAGGCAGCAGUAGGGAAUCUUCCACAAUGGACGCAAGUCUGAUGGAGCAACGCCGCGUGAGUGAAGAAGGGUUUCGGCUCGUAAAGCUCUGUUGUUAAAGAAGAACGUGGGUAAGAGUAACUGUUUACCCAGUGACGGUAUUUAACCAGAAAGCCACGGCUAACUACGUGCCAGCAGCCGCGGUAAUACGUAGGUGGCAAGCGUUAUCCGGAUUUAUUGGGCGUAAAGCGAGCGCAGGCGGUCUUUUAAGUCUAAUGUGAAAGCCUUCGGCUCAACCGAAGAAGUGCAUUGGAAACUGGGAGACUUGAGUGCAGAAGAGGACAGUGGAACUCCAUGUGUAGCGGUGAAAUGCGUAGAUAUAUGGAAGAACACCAGUGGCGAAGGCGGCUGUCUGGUCUGCAACUGACGCUGAGGCUCGAAAGCAUGGGUAGCGAACAGGAUUAGAUACCCUGGUAGUCCAUGCCGUAAACGAUGAUUACUAAGUGUUGGAGGGUUUCCGCCCUUCAGUGCUGCAGCUAACGCAUUAAGUAAUCCGCCUGGGGAGUACGACCGCAAGGGUUGAAACUCAAAAGAAUUGACGGGGC
rnacentral:rRNA from 1 species